AACAGAGCAAGUUUUGCCUUCUUCCUUGACCUUUUCCAGGAAUGAAGAAGAAAAUGUUUGUGUAAUGAGUUCUCCAAGAUAAAACAGCCCAUCUGAUUACAGAUUUUCUGUUUGUUCUCCUUUCCUUGACUCUGUGUUGAUUUAAGAUUGUUUUCAAUUAGGCUCUCUUUGGCUGAGGCUGAGUACAGUGAUUGUUGAAGCCCUGGGUGAGCAGCACCUCUCCUCUCUCAGUCUUAUGUCUGGUUUGAAGUGUCUGUUAUAGUACUGAUGAAGCACAUGCCUCUUAAUGCCAAUGGUUCAGCUUGUAAGGGCUGAGGAAGCAUGUGGGCAGUUUGAGUAUAUUAACCCACAUCAGGGUGCUGCAGUGUGGAAGAUUAUGCCUUGACAUCAUUUUUCAAAGACCACAUCACAGCUCUUCUGUCUUGCUAAGUGGAAGUAUAAAGAUUGGUCUUCUUCAGAAUGGCUGUGAAGCCAUGUGUGGUGAUUUUAUCAGUAUUCCACUUUUGCUGUGAAGCAGUGCUUUCAGGACUCACUGACUGCCUUUAUUUUAAUGGGUUCAUCCUGGUACCUGUGGGAUUGAGUGCAGUCUCAACAAGUUUCUAGAUGAGAUUAACCUGAGUGGUGCAGUUGAUAUGACAGAAUGAAGGGAUGCUAUCUAGAGGGACCCAGAGUGACUUGAAAGAUAGGCCCAUGUGAACCUACUGAGAUUCAACAAGGCCAAGUGCUAGGUGCUGUGCUUGCAUUGAGGAAAUUCCAGAUAUGUAUAGAGACUGGGAGAAGAACUCCUUGAGACCAGCCAGGUCAAGAAAAACUUGGUGGUUCCAGUAGAUGAAAAGUUGGACAUGAGGCAGAGGUGUGCACUUGCUGCCAGGAAGGCCAACUGUAUCCUGAGCUCUAUCAAAAGAUGGGUGGCCAACAGGGCAAGGAAGGUGAUUGGCCCCCUCUGCUCUACCCUCGUAAUGAUCACCAGACCUGGGACACCUAACACAGAAAAGAUGUGGAGCUGUUGGAACAGUUCCAGAGGAGGGCUGCUAAGAUGGUCAGAGUGUUGGAGCACCUCUCCUACAAAGACAGGCUGAGGGAGCUGGGCUUCUUCAGCUUAAGAAGAGAAGACUCCUGGGAGACCUCAUUGAGACAUUCCCACCGCUGCCAGACUUCUUUGUUGACUGACCUAGCACAUUAACCGAGUAGAAUGCUAAUCCAGAAAAAGAAAUAUGGUUUCCUGCACAAUCACCAUGAAGAAAUGGUUCAAGAUCCAGAAGGGAAGUGGAAACUCACAACUGAGGAGAUGGGAAAACGUAAGGAAGAGUGAAAUGACAGCAGUGAGAUAUAGCUGUGCUAAAAAUAAGACUAUUCAGAUCUUAUCAACUUGUAGUUUUUGUGAUGCUGAAUUAUGAAUCAAUACAAUAUUACUGUACGGCAGAGAACUAAAGUUAGUUUUGCCAAAUAAUAGAACACUUGUAUAAUGUGAUACUAUGAGAAGAUGAAGUCUAACAAGUUCUGCUAGUUGUUAUAUGUUACAGGAGUUGUGUUUUUCAAGUCAAAGAUUGUAGUUCAUUCAACAAAGAGCCAAGUAUAUUAAAGUUAAUGCCAACAGUUCUGAAGAGAAAAAGGUGUCUUAGUGCUGUUAUUUUGAUCCACAGAAUUAGAGUACAAAAAUGGGAGUUAGGAGAAAGUAGGUAGUUUCUGCAGAAAGAUGUAUGAAAAUACAUCGGAAGUAAAUAGAGAGUGUAUAGUUGUGCUUAGUGAGGUCUCAGACUGGUGUUUCUAUUUUUGGAAGAAGGAAAGAUGAUAAAUCUGAUGAAACAAAGGAAAUAAUAGAGCAAGGGGAAGGCUGCUUUGGAAGAAAAUUUCAAGAACAAAAUAUAACUGACAAUCCAAAAGGAGCAGUAAAGUGAGGAAUGUAUAAGCUAAAAAAAAAAUAAUUACAAUUUGUAGAAGCUAGGAUCUCUGAAAUGCAGUGCCACACUCAUUUUCCUCACUUAGGCAUAGAAGGCAAGCUUUUAGAAUGCCCUGCUGCUGUGUAGUGUGGCUACUGGCUCGAAACCUGAAUGGCUCAGAGGAUGGAGCACCAAUCUGCUAUUUCUGAACAGAAGCACUAAUUGUAGUAUGAGGUUGCCAUGACAGCAAGUAACUUUCUUCCUUGUUUGGCUGAGCUUAUGCCAGAUAAAAGAAGGAUCUGAAGUUUUAUUCAGUAUCCUUCCUGUUACCCUGAGUGGAAAUGCACAAAAAUUAAAUCCUCUUCUUGCCUAGUAACUUUAUACCACUUCCCACUAUCCAUUCUAACUCAGUGCAACUUCAAAGUACAACCUCAUACGUAUCUCUACACAUGUUAUGUAUAUGUAUAAAUGAUAAAUGUAUAUACAUUAUACAUAUAUAAAUUAUUUAUGUAUAUAUAUUAUUUAUACAUAUACAUUUUACCAAAAUUUAUUAUCAAAAUGCCACCUGCAAUGCUCAUGGUAAGACUGGACACUUAAGAAAAAAAUCAAGUAGGUCUGAUCCUGAUAAUUUAGAAAACUGAGCAUUCUAGAAGCAAUCUUUCUACUGAGUUGUGAGAAACUAGACACACUUCUGUUUCAUUGGGCUCAAGCACCAACCCCUGGAUGGAUUAACUGAUCCAGAGGGCUCAAGUGAGGUAGGAAAACAUAACCAUAUUCCUUAUAGAAGAUUAGAAAUUUAUAAAGUGUGGGAAACAAAUUGCCCAUGGCAAGUUUUCCACAAUGGAAAGGGAGAUAAUCAGCUUCUCCUUUUCUAUUUGUGAAACGAAAAAGUGUUGGUAACUUAGCAAGAAAAAUAUUUUAGUCUACAUGAAGCAAAAAGCAGGGGCAGUGUGUACUGUAGCUUACUUAAUGACUAUUAACAUAGAAUAUGAUUUCUGGAAAAAAGCUUCUGAGCUUUGGAAGAUAAGACAAUAAUGAUUUCAAUUUCAGAGAUUUUCAUGGAAAACAGGUUAAAAAAAAAAAAGAUGUUUUGUUAAUGAAAAGAAGUAUUUUAACUCCUACUAAAUACCAACUCUGAAUCUAUUUAUGUAAAAACUGGAGUCACUAAAGAGUUUUAAUAAACUAAAAGUACAAAAUAUUGUCCACAUUUCAGAACAAAAUUGAGUUAAGUUUGAAAUACAGUCAAUACUAAAAUAGUUUUUCAGUGUUGUGGUUUCUAAAAGCAGCUAUGGAACAAAUAUUUCUUCAGUGGUUAUCAUUUUUUUUAAAGCUGGCAUGGUAUCCAUUACAGCUCUGUAAAAUAUUUGUAUUUCUCUCUGAAUCAAUGCAGAAUGACUCUCAGUUAACAUUCUGUUCUUUCUCAUACCCAAGCAAAUGCGGAUAAUAUUUACUUAUCAGAUAAGCUGGCAGAUCCCCUCCCAUCAAAGGCCCUCCCACACUCCAUCCCAAAGGCAGUUCUGUGGCCCAUUAGCUCCCUGGUGCCCUCUAAAGCUUGUGAAAAAGAAUACUGAGAUUUUUCAAAAGACAAUGAUCAUGGAGGGGUUAGGAUUUAUACCAGCACGGUGUUCCUAAAUCCACUAUCAAAAUGAAUUUUACAGAGCAGGGGAGUGUAUAAGUAAAUCAGAGACUGGAUUGUUGAGGUGGGAAAAGGAGUUUAGAUUUUACAUUAACUUAUCAUAGAUUGCUGUGAGUUUUAUGUUGUGUUCUCUGCUAAAAACUAUAAUGUAACUGACUGACAGCGUGUUGGCCUCCACUGAAUCUUUCUUAAGCAGAAAGACUGUGAAGACUGGUUCAUGAGAGCUUGAACAAGAAAUACUAGUUGACUGGGGAAUAACUAACUUCCGAAUUCAUUGGGAAGCAAAUAAUUUUAUGCAAAUGGUUUAAGGCACACACAGAAAAUCAAGAAUAGAAUCAUGAAUAUUUUGUGUGUUUAUCAAGCAUGUAUGAGCAUGAGCUGUGAAGGGGAUUAAAACCUCAGACAAGUAAAAUUAUUUUUGGAGGGAAUAAAACCCUUCAAGCUGUUUUUUUAAUUAAACAGACUGUUGUCAAUUUUCACUUUUUCAGUGAACAACAAUCAAACACUUAAUUGCUGUGUUCAUAAUUGUUACUGUUCAAAUAUGUUUUCAUA
ensembl:lncRNA